UACGUAGGGCGCAAGCGUUGUCCGGAAUUAUUGGGCGUAAAGAGCUCGUAGGCGGUUUGUCGCGUCUGCUGUGAAAACCUAAGGCUCAACCUUGGGCUUGCAGUGGAUACGGGCAGACUAGAGUGCGGUAGGGGUGACUGGAAUUCCUGGUGUAGCGGUGGAAUGCGCAGAUAUCAGGAGGAACACCGAUGGCGAAGGCAGGUCACUGGGCCGCAACUGACGCUGAGGAGCGAAAGCAUGGGGAGCGAACAGG
rnacentral:rRNA from 1 species